AGAGAGAGAGAGAGAGAGAGAGAGAGAGAGAGAGAGAGAGAGAGAGAGAUAAAGAUGAUAAUUGCUAAGGAUAUAUUCGUACGACGAUUACCUACAAUAAAUAUAGAAUAUAGAAUCACGAUCCUUGAACUUCGCUACCUGACGCCAUUUUGAAAACGGCUAGGAAAUCUCUAAAUUGAGAAUUAAUUCCUCAAAACACUUACUAUAUUUACUUUCUAUAUAUAUUUCUAGAUUGUAUUAUGUAAAACAUAAUAUGUACAUAUUCAAAAAAAAAUUAUCAAUCCUUGUGGAAGAAAACGUUGGACUAUUGAUUUAAAAAAAAGAGGAUGGGAGGGAGAGAGGGAGGGGGAGGGAAGGGGCGGGAGGGAGAGGGAGAGAGAGAAAGAAAAGAAAAAAAGAGAGAGAAAUAUCGAAAGAAUAUCGAUAAAGACGGCUAGAAUAAUUUUUACCCGAGAAUUAAUAUAAUGAUCGAUAACCCAGUUUAGAUUCCGGACACUUCAACUACGAGAGUCAAGAGCGUUAUACUGCGCAGGACAGAACUACGUGAUCUUCGUAUAUGUUAUGUGUACGUGUAACGGACGAGUCAAAGUACGCGCGGCGGAACAGGAACGACCGGAAUCGCAGCAGCUGAAUCGACCGACCCUUUUCUCUCGUCUCCAUCGUGGUAAAGCGCGAAGGUUCUUUAAAAAUGGCGUAGAUGGGUCUUUUUUUUAUAUCCACGAGGACGGCUGAUAGAUAAAGAGGUUAAAAAAAAAAAAAGAAAAAAGAAAAGAGAGAGAGAGAGAGAGAGAGAAAAUUUUAAGACAAAGAUAAAGGAUUGUAUUAGAAAAUUAUCUUAUAUAGCCCGAUAAAUUUUCCGUUAGACGUCACGCUGCACUUUGUCCCGAAUAAUCGUAAAGGAAGAAACAAAAAAGAUGACAAUGAGAACAACAAUGACCGAUAACGAUGAAUAACUAAAAAGUAUAUACCAUAAAGUCUAUAAUAAUGAAUGAAAAGAAAAAAGAAAAAAAAAUGUGUAUAUAUGUGUUUAUGUGUAUGUGUAUAUAGUUAAAAUGCAAGUGAUACUACAGGAAAAUCUUACUAGGAUUAAGAAUAUUCCAGAAACAAGGAUCGCCAGCAGCAUUGACGUUGGUCAUAACUGCGUUGCUAUCGUUGUUGCUCUUCCGCGCGGAAUUUUCUUUCUCCGGCAUUGGGCACGCCGGUGCUACAGUCUCCGAAUCCAUUUUACGUCUCUUACUUUUGUUGCGGAGAGAGGAAAAGAGAGAGAGAGAGAGACAAAGAGAAACAAAGAGAGAAAG